GGGGAUAGGGCUCAGUGAUAGAGCACUUGCCCAGCGUGCACAAGGCCCUGGAUUCAAACCCCAGUACCCCCC
rnacentral:tRNA from 1 species